rnacentral:rRNA from 1 species
CCUACGGGAUGCACCAGUGGGGAAUAUUGCACAAUGGGCGCAAGCCUGAUGCAGCCAUGCCGCGUGUGUGAAGAAGGCCUUCGGGUUGUAAAGCACUUUCAGCGAGGAGGAAGGUGGUGAACUUAAUACGUUCAUCAAUUGACGUUACUCGCAGAAGAAGCACCGGCUAACUCCGUGCCAGCAGCCGCGGUAAUACGGAGGGUGCAAGCGUUAAUCGGAAUUACUGGGCGUAAAGCGCACGCAGGCGGUUUGUUAAGUCAGAUGUGAAAUCCCCGGGCUCAACCUGGGAACCGCAUUCGAAACUGGCAAGCUAGAGUCUCGUAGAGGGGGGUAGAAUUCCAGGUGUAGCGGUGAAAUGCGUAGAGAUCUGGAGGAAUACCGGUGGCGAAGGCGGCCCCCUGGACGAGGACUGACGCUCAGGUGCGAAAGCGUGGGGAGCAAACAGGAUUAGAUACCCCAGUAGUC